CGACCUCAGGUCAGACGUGGCGACCCGCUGAAUUUAAGCAUAUUAGUCAGCGGAGGAAAGAAACUAACGAGGAUUCCCUCAGUAACGGCGAGUGAAGAGGGAAGAGCCCAGCGCCGAAUCCCCGCCCCGCGGUGGGCGCGGGAGGUGUGGCGUACGGAAGCCCCAUCCCCGGCGCCGCUCUCGGGGGGCCCAAGUCCUUCUGAUCGAGGCCCAGCCCGCGGACGGUGUGAGGCGGUAGCGGCCCCCGGCGCGCCGGGCCCGGGGCUUCUCGGAGUCGGGUUGCUUGGGAAUGCAGCCCAAAGCGGGUGGUAAACUCCAUCUAAGGCUAAAUACCGGCACGAGACCGAUAGCCAACAAGUACCGUAAGGGAAAGUUGAAAAGAACUUUGAAGAGAGAGUUCAAGAGGCGUGAACCGUUAAGAGGUAAACGGUGGGGUCCGCGCAGUCGGCCCGGAGAUUCAACCCGGCGGGCCAAGGUCGGCCGGCGCGGGCGCCGUCGGAUCCCCGCCUCCGCCUCCCCUCCGUCCCUCCCUUCGCGGGGCGGGGCGGGGGGGGCCGCAGGGGGGGGGGGGGCAUCUGGGCGGGCGCGCGACCGGUCCGGGGGCGGGGGGGGGCGGGGGGGGGGGGGGGGGGGGGGGGAUGGCGGGCCGCGCGCCGAUCCGGGGGGGGGGGACCGCCGCCGCGCCCUCCCCGGAGGCGCCCGGACCCCCGCCCGGCCGGCUCCGCGCGCGCGCGCGCCGCGCCGCCGCCGUACGCCCCGCCGCCUCCUCCGUUGCCCGGCGUCCCGGGGCGCGGGGCGGGUGUGGCGCGGCUCGCGGGCCGCGCCGCGCGCUCCAGCCCGGCGCGGGCGAGCCGCGGGGGGCGCCGGGGGGAACCUUCCCCCUUCUGUUCGGGCCGCCUCCGUUCCCGCGGGCGGCCGUCGGGGGACGGGCCGCCGGCCCCGGCGCCGCUUGUCCGACCGGGGGCGGACUGGCGCUCAGGCGCCCGACGCGCGGCGCCGCCGGGCGGGCUCGGGCACGGCCAGGGCGCCGGGGUCCGCGGCGACGUCGGCUACCACCCGACCCGUUGAAACACGGACCAAGGAGUCUAGCACGCGCUCGCGAGUCGGCGGCUCGCGCGAAAGGCCGCGGCGCAAUGAAGGUGGGGCGGCGCGCGCGGCUGAGGUGGAUCCCGGGGCGGCAGCCGGAAGGCCCGGGGCGCACCACCGCCCGUCUCGCCGCCUCGCCGGGGAGGUGGAGCAUGAGCGGCGCGUGCUAGGACCGGAAAGAUGGUGAUGUGGGCACGAGCAGAUGACUCUGGGGAGCCGUAGCCGGUCCUGACGGUGCAAAUCGGUCGUCCGACCCGGGUAUAGGGGCGAAAGACUAAUCGAACAUCUAGUAGCUGGUUCCCUCCGAAGUUUCCCUCAGGAUAGCUGGCGCUCGGGGGCGGCGGUGCAGUUUUACCCGGUUAAAGCGAAUGAUAGAGGUUGGGGCGAAACUUGAUCUCACACUUUAAUAAACGGGUUCAAUGAGGUUAGGAGGCAGCGGCGCUGGGCUGGCGGGAGGCGGGCCGUGGAGAUGGCCGAGGCUCACUUGGGGCCCAUGUUUAGUAAGCAGAAUGGCGCUGCGGGAUGACCGUAUCGCCGGCUACGCCGCGACGAGUAGGAGGGCCGCUGCGGUGCGCCUGGAAGCCUGGGGCGCGGGCCCGGGUGGAGCCGCCGCAGGUGCAGAUCUUGGUGGGUAGCAACUAUUCAACGAGAGCUUUGAAGGCCGAAGUGGAGCAGGGUUCCAUGUGAACAGCAGUUGAACAUGGGUCAGUCGGUCCUAAGCGAUAGGCGAGCGCCGUUCCGAAGGGACGGGCGAUGGCCUCCGUUGCCCUCAGCCGAUCGAAAGGGAGUCGGGUUCAGAUCCCCGAAUCCGGAGCGGCGGAGACGGGCGCCGCGAGGCGCCCAGUGCGGUAACGCAAGCGAUCCCGGAGAAGCCGGCGGGAGCCCCGGGGAGAGUUCUCUUUUCUUUGUGAAGGGCCGGGCGCCCUGGAACGGGUUCGCCCGAGAGAGGGGCCCGCGCCUUGGAAAGCGUCGCGGUUCCGGCGGCGUCCGGUGAGCUCUCGCUGGCCCGUGAAAAUCCGGGGGAGAGGGUGUAAAUCUCGCGCCGGGCCGUACCCAUAUCCGCAGCAGGUCUCCAAGGUGAACAGCCUCUGGCAUGUUGGACAAAUGUAGGUAAGGGAAGUCGGCAAGCCGGAUCCGUAACUUCGGAUAAGGAUUGCUCUAAGGGCUGGGUCGGUCGGGCUGGGGCGCGAAGCGGGGCUGGGCGCGCGCGCGCUGGACGAGGCGCGCCCGCCCCCCCCCCCCCUCCCCCGCCCCCGCCCCCCCGGGCCCCGCGGGGGGUCAGCGGGCGGCGCGGCGGCGGCGACUCUGGACGCGCGCCGGGCCCUUCCCGUGGAUCGCCCC
rfam:Gallus gallus breed Red Jungle fowl, inbred line TCD001 Contig9636.1, whole genome shotgun sequence. [11-NOV-2016]